rnacentral:rRNA from 1 species
GACGGGGGGGGCAAGUGUUCUUCGGAAUGACUGGGCGUAAAGGGCACGUAGGCGGUGAAUCGGGUUGAAAGUGAAAGUCGCCAAAAAGUGGCGGAAUGCUCUCGAAACCAAUUCACUUGAGUGAGACAGAGGAGAGUGGAAUUUCGUGUGUAGGGGUGAAAUCCGUAAAUAUACGAAGGAACGCCAAAAGCGAAGGCAGCUCGUCUGGGAUCCCUACC